rnacentral:other from 1 species
GGUCACCUGCGGUGUUCGUAGAAGAACAAUGUUUUGAACCUUACGUGUUGAUAGGGAGACGGAUAUCCACUUCGUGCUGGCAAGCCCUCUUGAAGGGACGUCAAAUAAUCGAAGCGCUAGUCACCCACCUGCGAAAGUGCAGGUUCUAAAACACGCGUUCGAUACGGCACAUGCGGGUGAUUU